rnacentral:lncRNA from 1 species
CCUGAGUACAGAGCACUUGAAAUGUUAAAAUGCAGAAAAUGCAAAUGUCUAUUAUGAGAUGCCAUCUUAAAUAUAGGGCCUGUUUGGCACCCUAAUUUUUUACCAAAUUUUUUAGUUAUUAGUUUUUUAACAACUUUUGUUACAGGAAUCUCAAAAAAUUUCUCAAAGUUUUUUUAUCUACACACUUAAAAUAUCCAAAACACAAAAAAAAAAAAAUUUUCCUCCCCUUUUCUUCUUCUUCCUCCCCCACCACCACCUUCCGCACCGAUUUCCGGUGCCAGUGCCGGUCUUCUUUUUUUUUUCUUUUUUUUC